UUGCUGUGGGAGCCGGGUGGGGCAGGAAGGGGCUGGCUGCUCAGCAGGGUGCCCGGGACAGAAAGGUGGGGGCGGGGGAGGUGCAGGUGUGAUGGGCCCACCCGCUGCUCUUCACCUCUGUCCCCGCUCCUGCCCGAGCAGCCCACUGGGGUCACCAUCAACCCCAGGAGACACCAGCCCAAGAGCCCUCAGGUCGCCCAGGUGGCACCCACUAAACCUGUCCUGCAAACCCGCCCCGGCUCCCGCACAAGGAGCACCAGCUGUGUGGCCCGGAUGCCCAUUCUUGGCUCCUCUAUCCUCCAUGCUCUGUAUUUAAUCCGUCCCUACCUCCUGUCUGUCUGUCACCAGAAAACCCGGGCUUCACUCCUGGCUCAUGACUGACUGACGGACAGACCUCCAGGCUGCGCCUCCCCGUGCCCUCCAGCCCGACCGCCAGCGCACCGUGCGCCUCAGGCUGCGAGGGAACCCCUGACCCUUGACGUUUUCUAUUAGACCACAAGCUCUUCUGGGGCAGGCCUGGCCCUUCGGAGGACAUGCAGGGGACUGGCCGGGCCGACCGGGUGCAGAGGGAGGGCCCGAGGCUCACUGUGCUCGUGUUUGAGGGUUCAGCCUCAUGCCAGGGGCUGUCCAGGGCCCUAUCAUGGCCCGAACACUGCAAUCAAAUAGCUAUAAACUGCUAAUCUCCGGACUCCGGAACUGCGGCUGUUCGGUAGGAAAGACCAAAAGCAAAUGGUGAACGAAAGAGAAGACACACAUGCAUGCACAAAAUAAAAUCCACACCGCCACUGCCGCCACCAACCAGCACGCCAUGGGACACCAGACCGACAGGCUGUCCGGACUCUGAAUUCACACGCGUUCUCCUACAGACUGCACCGCUCUGGAACCCUGAGCAGGGCCCAGAACCAUUUCUUCUGGAGUAACCUCAGCACUCAGACCUGAAGGACCUGUUCUCGCUGGCUUCUCGAUUCACUCCGUGGCCAGGGGAGGGUUAGCAGCAAUAAUGUGGUGCCCUUGCCCCCGUCCCAAAGGACCCCGACGGCGGGCCCUCAGCAAAACCCUGCGGCCGCUCCCUGCUCCCGUGUGCAGAGGGGAACCGGCUCGCUGAUGGGGAUCCCGGGCACGUGCUCCCACUUGGUCGGGCCCCUGAGCCAGAGACUGGAGCCUGUUGACUGAAAAUUCAUCCGGGAGAUAGAUAAGGUGCCUUCCCCUUGGCCCCCAUUCAGAGGUGAAAUGGGAAGGCAGAGAGACCUCUAGAGGUAGGUUUGAGGAGCAGAUUUAGGGGAGUUCUGCACACCCCUUUCCCAGCUUGACCGAGCCACUGAUUCAGCAUAGGUGCUGGACAGUUUGCCUGCCUCCUGGAGUUUCUGGUGGAACGAGAAACCUAACUCCGAUUUCUCCUUCGUGUCUAUGCAGUCUGUCUACGCAGUGUGCGUCCUCCUAGCAGCGUCUCGGCCUUGGGCUGCGAGGCUUGAAGCGGGGAGGGAACUGGAUUUCGAGCUCCUGAAGGAAUUGCUAUGUUUCGCUGGAUAUGCCCCCUCCUGCACAAGGCGGUCGUUUAAAAAUAUGUUUCUAUUUCCACUGACAAACCCAAAUUAUUUUUGCUUCCACCCCCCCGCCCCAUCACCUACACAACCCAGAACCUUUCCACAGACUUAUCGCUGGUCCCCUGGCCACCAUUUGCCACCUGUGUGAUACUUCAUCCAGUCAGCACAGCUUCACAGGCCCAACCUGCUCACCACCUGCACCUGUCAACUUAGACUCCCUCCCUUUGACACCUUCUAGAACAAUCUCAGAACACACCACCCCCCCUUGGUCUUGGGGCCCAAGAAGGCUCAGAAGCUUCUUAGGGGAAGAAGGGCUGGAAGGCUACAGGCGCCCUCUCAGCGACACUCCCACUAGUGUGACAGGAGCGGUGAGGACAGGGACCCGCAUGGUCUCCAGCAUGGGCCGGGCCUCCCGGUGGAUAGCGGACGCUUCCAGAGAGUUCCCCAGCAUGCUGCUACCAGGAGAACUGGAGGGACGUGUUGCCGAGAAAGCAGAGGCGCUUUUCCGCUCCAGUCCGCUAUCGAAUGCAGGCCCUCGCCAGUCAGGACCGAGACCGAGGCAGGAGCCUCCGGCACGUGCGCACGCCCAGCAAGCUUGGUG